UUCCUGGCGUCAGGAUGAACGGCUGGCGGCGUGCCUAAUACAUGCAAGUCGAGCGAAUGACGAGGAGCUUGCUCCUCUGAUUUAGCGGCGGACGGGUGAGUAACACGUGGGUAACCUGCCUGUAAGACGGGGAGUAACUCCGGGAAACCGGGGCUAAUACCGGAUAUAAAGGAAAUGCAUAUUCCUUUUUGAAAGUCGGCAUCUCGCUGACACUUACAGAUGGGCCCGCGGCGCAUUAGCUAGUUGGUGAGGUAAUGGCUCACCAAGGCGACGAUGCGUAGCCGACCUGAGAGGGUGAUCGGCCACACUGGGACUGAGACACGGCCCAGACUCCUACGGGAGGCAGCAGUAGGGAAUCUUCGGCAAUGGGCGAAAGCCUGACCGAGCAACGCCGCGUGAGCGAUGAAGGCCUUCGGGUCGUAAAGCUCUGUUGUUAGAGAAGGACAAGUACGAGAGUAACUGCUCGUACCUUGACGGUACCUAACCAGAAAGCCACGGCUAACUACGUG
rnacentral:rRNA from 1 species